ensembl:lncRNA STXBP5-AS1 STXBP5 antisense RNA 1
AGAAACACUCUGCUACAGAACAAGUGUCUUGGUUCACAGCAAAGAGGACAAAGAAAACAGCAAGUUUUAGGGGGUUGAAUCCUGGAUUCCCCUGGCAAACACCAUUCUACUUUCCGUCUCUAUGAAUUUGACUACUCGAAGUACCUCAUGUGAAAUGUUGGUGCCAAAUGAACUUUUCUGGUUCUUCUGAAUAGGAUGAAGAGAUCCUCCUAGCUUGGCGGAAUACUCUGCUCUGAUGGAAGUACCAUCCUGGUCCAAACAUGAAAGAAUUCCCAACAUCAAGAUUGAUUGAAACAUAUUCAAUGGAUCAUUUGCUCCAGAAGAAGCUGGUUGCCAUGUCUUGAGGACAGUAAACCCUCUGGGGAGGUUCCUGUGGUAAGGAACAAGGGCUCCUGGCAAUAGCCUCUGAGUGAGCCACCUUGAAAAUGGAUUGUCCAGCCCCAGUCAAGCUUUCAGAUGACUGUAGCUCCUGCCAAUGUCUUCACCACAACCUCAUGAGAUCCCAAGCUACAACCACUCAGUUAAGUUAUGCCAAAAUUCCUGAUUCACAGAAAUUGACAUACAGGAGAGGUCACAGUUAAGAUCUUGAUGUUCUAUCUUGACCCAUAAUAUAGGAACUUCAUCUUUUGGGAAGCACCAGGGAGAGCUGCCUGUGCCUGGCAGAAGCUGCCCAUGCCCCACUGAUACCCCACAGUACUUCCUGUUCUGCUUAGUACUCCUGCUUCUUUCUACAAACAACUGUGAUUCUCUACCUGGGAGCUUCCUCUGGCCACAGGAGCCUGCUCACCUGAUUGGGACACCCUAGCAGUACUGGCUCAUAGAUGGAAGGGACUUGCCUUGUCGCUGAUGAGACUUUCGACUUGGACUUUUGAGUCAAUGCUGGAAUGAGUUAAGACUUUGGGGAACUGUUGGAAGGGUGUGAUUGUGUUUUGAAUUGUGAGGACAUGAGAUUUUGAAGAGGCUAAUGGCAGCGUCCCCACCUAAAUCUCUUCUUGAAUUGUAGUUCCCAUAAUCCCCACGUGUCGUGGGGUGGAGCCGGUGGAGAUAAUUGAAUCAUGGGAACACUUUCCCCCAUGCUGUUAUUGUGAUUGUGAAUUCUCACGAGAUCUGAUGGUUGUAUAAACGCCUUCCCUCUUCGCUGGGCACUCAUUUUUCUCCUUCCUGCCACCAUGUGAAGAAGGAUAUGCUUGCUUCUUGUGCCAUGAUUGUAAGUUUCCUGAGGCCUCCCCAGCCAUGCUGAACUGUGAGUCAAUUGAACCUCUUUCCUUUAUAAAUUACCUAGUCUUGGAUAUGUUUUUAUUAGCAGUGUGAGACAGGACUAAUACACAAAGGAUUUGAAAUCACAAAGGAGCUGUUUUCUGCUCCACCAUGGAAGUCUCACAUGCAUCACAUCUAUUCAUAUCCAUUUGCCACAACUAGACAAAAAGUCCUUUUUAAAAUCUGCCUAGAGAUCAGGAAGUAUUAUCUCUGGAUGCCUAGGCAGGAGAGGUGAAUCAGAUAUUGGUGGGCACUAGUGUGUUCUAUGAUACAUAGCUUAAUAAAAAUAAGUUUCAGAUAAAUCUAAAUAUACAUUAGAAUACUGUAACCACAGUAGAAAAAAAUAUUGGCUCCUUUUUGUGAUAAACUAAUGAUGGUAAAUGCACCCUAUUUAAGCAAGAAAAGAAACUGAUCUGCCAUAAAGAAAACAAUGACAUAUUUAACUACAAAAUAUGUUACAAAAUAUUAAUAUCCCUAAUGGACAAAUGAGUUCCAAUAAAUGGAUAACAAAAAACCAAUAAGUCUGUAGAAAAAUGGAGAAAAUAUAUUUGCAGAAUAUUUAUACAGGUGGUAAUGAAAUUGACAAUGAUGUUUAUCAUCAGCAGUAAACAGUAAAAAGUUUCACCCACCAGGACUAUAGAAAUUUUUCAAAUGGAUAAUUUUCAGAAUCAGCAAAGUUAUAGAAAAGUAGGUACCAGUUGCACAUACCAUUGGAGGAAAUGUAAAAUAUAGUUACCUUGUGGAAAGUAAUCUGAUGUAAUAUAUUAAAAUUUUAUCCAUGUAUGUCCUAUAAUUCAGCAAUUCCAUGUUGGGGAAUCCAUACAAAGAAAUACUUAUACACAUGCAGAAGGAGCUAAGUUUAAGAAAGCACACAUUUCAGCGGGUUGUGGUGUCUCACCCCUGUAAUCCCAGCACAUUGGGAGGCCGAGGUUGGUGGAUCACCUGAGGUCAGGAGUUUGAGACCAGCCUGGCCAACAUGGUGAAACCC